CUCCGCAUUCUUAAAGGAACCCUCCCCUUGUCCCCGCCUCUCCCGCCAACACGGGCCCCUCCUGUGUCUGAGAGUCCUGGGAGCACUCCACCAAGGAUGCCUCCCCAGCCCCCAGCAAGCCACUCCUAAACCCUGGCGGCCUGGCUCCCUUCCAGCUCUGCCCGCUGUUUGCUCUUUUCUCAGGCCUCAGGCCCUCUGACUCCCUGUGGCACUGGGCUCUCCAGCCUCCCCACUCCCUCUCAGGGAAGCCAUCCAGAUGGUCAGACCACUCUGCCUCUCUUGACCCCGCUUGGAGCCCAGGGGUUCAUCUCGGAUACUUUCCUCACCCUGACCACAGCCAACUCUUUGUCAGAUUGUAAGGAUUCCCCCUCGGGGUCCUCUUCCCUGCCCCAGUGCCCACAGUGAGUAUCUUUAACAAUGAAACUUAUUUGUCCUCUACCGGACUCCACUCUGGCUUGGAGGAGAACUCCGCCCUUGUCUGAUGCUGGCCUUCGUAGCUAUCUCCCUGCCCCCAGCUGCCCAGCCCAGUCACCCCCCAUUCUCCUGCCACCACUUCCUUAGAAACUUCCAGAUGUUCAUGGCUCCCCAAGUAGACAUUUAGGGACAUUCUGAGCCCUUUGAUGCCUGAUCUGGAUGUCCCUUGCCACUCUUCCCUCCAUUCCCUUUCUGUGCUAGUCCCUUGCUUACCUGACACCAAAGAUCUUACUCCUCCCCCAACACAGGCUACCACUGUCAACAGCAGGCCUUUCAUCUGGCUGGUUCCUGGGGGGGGGGGGGGGGGGGGGGGGGCCGGGCGUGCCCUCACUGUUGCCCCACCUUUCUUCUCUGGAAGCAACAGGGUCCACGUUCCUCUUCAUGAUGAUGGUUGAAGGGCUUGGCUGUUGCAGAUCUUCACGGCUCUAGAAGACUCUUCCCAAAGUAGGGUUGGGGUAUGGGUGCUCAGAGUUAACCCGGGGCAGAAAGGGACUGUUAAUGGCACUGAGCUAAGACCAGGUUGGAUGGGCUCCCGGGUUGGAUGGGUUUCUAUUAUUAACCACAUGGACUAGAAAGAAACCAACCAGGAUGGUGUCUGAGGCUUCCCAGGUCCUGCAGCCCCAGAGAAAGGUUUCUGGGUUAGAGCCACUGCACCAAGGGGCAAGGCCUCUGGGUGAUGACGGUUAUCAGUUGGGCCAGUAAAUGGAAGGCCAGCGAGGAAAGUCUGAGUCAGUCCUUGUGGUUGGAGGUAAGUGUCUCUGCUUUAGAUCCAGCAAGUCUGUUUCUUGGAAUUCCGGGUGUGUUUUUCUGUCUUGUGCUUCAUGGGCACCACGGUGUGGCGGCGAGAGCCUUGUGAACGAACACUCGGUGUCACUGCAGAGUGAGUGACCUGGGCUGUAAAGAUGCGGGGGCAAGUACUGGGGCCAGUACAGAAGAAGGGCCUGAGCCUGAGACCAGGACAGCAUCUGUAAAGGCCAGUAGAGCUGAACGCGUGGAUUUGCAGUACGGGCUUCAAGGUGGAGCACCUGGAGCACCCCAGGGGAUGCAGGAGAGCAGAGCAUUUUUCCUGUAGGUCUGGGCCUUAAAACAGUAUUUCAAAAAUCAAAACUAACUCUCUGUCUCUCUCCCUCCCCCUCCCCCCCUCCCUCUCUCCAAAAGGGGGCUGCAACACCACAGACAACCAAUCCCCGGUGGUGCCUUAGGCGCAAGGCUCCAGGCCAGGCUGAGUGUUGGGCCGCAGCGCCCCCUGGAGGCCCAGGAGAUUCAGGCACUUGGAUCCACUUCAAGGUCAAGUUUUCUGAUAGGAAUUAACAGAGGGACAGAAUAAACAUACUAAAGCAUCCACUAAAUACGGUUGUUCCCGUGUUCCGUGAAGAAUAAGAAAAUGCCUGGGGCCAUUCCAGAAGGUUUCCUUGUGGGUAUGCCCCGGCUCUCAGCCUUCCUCCUGGCUGACUUCCCCUGUUGCCAGGGGAAAGACCCACACUACAGGUGUUCGUCUUGCCUUGGGAUCCCUCCCACUCCCGAAUCUAGGUUGAGUUACUGAGUGUUGAAUAAUACACAAUUGGAGUCAACACUCUGGCAGAGGAGUUGAGCUCCCAUCUCCAAUUUCUGGGCUAAAAGACAGAUUGCAUGUCCCCUCAAUUUUCCUGGUUGUCCACACCCCUACCAGUCACGAACCAUCUCAAAGACAACUAGUCUCACCCUCAUUGAGGCAGAGGAAGGGGACUGUUUUACCUGGUGCAGCAAGAUGUGCUUUGUUCAUCCAGAAGCUUUCAGAGAAGGCCCUGGGACCUGCAGAUUUCCAAACUAAUGCUGUAGCAACAGCCAACACUGUCCCUGGAGGCCGGCCCCUUAGCUACCCACAGGCAGUGGUGGAAAAUCAGAAAUAAAAGCAUGUGUGUGUGA